ACUCAAACCACGAUUUCUUUUCGCAGGAUCUUGAUGGUGAUGACGUCAUGAUUCUGGACAGUGGAGCAGACGAGAUCUACAUAUGGGUUGGCAAGGGAUCCACCAACGAGGAACGAAAGAAGGGAUAUGAUCUGGGUGUGCAAAUAUAUAGACGCAGAGCCAACGCGCGCGCCAAGGAAUGAAG